GGGCCCGCACAAGCGGUGGAGCUGUGGUUUAAUUCGAUGAUACGCGAGGAACCUUACCAGGGCUUAAAUGUAAGUUGCAUUAGUUAGAGAUAGCUAUUUCUUCGGACCACUUACAAGGUGCUGCAUGGUUGUCGUCAGCUCGUGCCGUGAGGUGUCAGUUAAGUCCUAUAACGAGCGCAACCCCUGUUGUUAGUUUGCCAGCGAGUCAUGUCGGGAACUCUAACAAGACUGCCGGUGCAAACCGUGAGGAAGGUGGGGAUGACGUCAAAUCAUCACGGCCCUUACGUCCUGGGCUACACACGUGCUACAAUGGUCGGUACAGAGAGCAGCCACUACGCGAGUAGGAGCG
rnacentral:rRNA from 1 species